rnacentral:rRNA from 1 species
AUUGAACGCUGGCGGCAGGCCUAACACAUGCAAGUCGAGCGGUAGAGAGGAGCUUGCUUCUCUUGAGAGCGGCGGACGGGUGAGUAAUGCCUAGGAAUCUGCCUGGUAGGGGGGGAUAACGUUCGGAAACGGACGCUAAUACCGCAUACGUCCUACGGGAGAAAGUGGGAGAUAUUCGGACCUCACGCUAUCAGAUGAGCCUAGGUCGGAUUAGGUAGUUGGUGAGGUAAAGGCUCACCAAGGCGACGAUCCGUAACUGGUCUGAGAGGAUGAUCAGUCACACUGGAACUGAGACACGGUCCAGACUCCUACGGGAGGCAGCAGUGGGGAAUAUUGGACAAUGGGCGCAAGCCUGAUCCAGCCAUGCCGCGUGUGUGAAGAAGGUCUUCGGAUUGUAAAGCACUUUAAGUUGGGAGGAAGGUCAGUAGCUUAAUACGUUGCUGAUUUGACGUUACCGACAGAAUAAGCACCGGCUAACUCUGUGCCAGCCGCCGCGGUAAGAC